GACGAACGCUGGCGGCGUGCCUAAUACAUGCAAGUCGAACGGUCUUUUCUAUGGAAGCUUGCUUCCACUGAGAAGAUAGUGGCGAACGGGUGAGUAACACGUGGGUAACCUGCCCAUAAGAAGGGGAUAACAUCCGGAAACGGGUGCUAAUACCGCAUAGUUUUCUUGAUCGCAUGAUUGAGAAAGGAAAGACGGCCUUUGUGCUGUCGCUUAUGGAUGGACCCGCGGCGUAUUAGUUAGUUGGUGAGGUAACGGCUCACCAAGACGAUGAUACGUAGCCGACCUGAGAGGGUGAUCGGCCACAUUGGGACUGAGACACGGCCCAAACUCCUACGGGAGGCAGCAGUAGGGAAUCUUCCGCAAUGGACGAAAGUCUGACGGAGCAACGCCGCGUGAGUGAAGAAGGUUUUCGGAUCGUAAAACUCUGUUGUCAGAGAAGAACAAGUCGGAGAGUAACUGCUCCGGCCUUGACGGUAUCUGACCAGAAAGCCACGACUAACUACGUGCCAGCAGCCGCGGUAAAAC
rnacentral:rRNA from 1 species